UUUCAACCACAAGGAAUGUGGUUCAAUAUUAUGCAUCGGCUAGCUGGGGAGUUCGAUAUGGUACGCAACAGCUAGCUGGAGAGUUUGAAUAGCUUUUACCCUAUGUUCAGGAACUGCUUGAUCAUGUCCUGUUCAAGGUUCAAGUUUUCACCUUUUAAAAUUUUUAUUGAUUGAUCAACUGAAUUUUAUAUAAGUUUGUUGAUUGAAAGUUUUAUUUUCCCAUGUUUGAUAUGUAAGUGGGUCCUUCUAGAAUCAAGAUUCAAGAGGUGAUCUCCAUCUAAGGUUUAUUUUAUAAAUGAAUAUAUAAAAGAAGUUUCCUUUUUAUGCAUAGAUGUUUUAGUGCAUUGAUAGAUGUGGUAGGACAUGAUGGGAAGUUGGAUGCUUCAUUUGGAAUUCUACAAGAAGCCAGGAAUAAUAAAGGAAUAUCGGGGAUCAUAUCAUAUAGCUCAUUGAUGGGAGCAUUUAGCAAUGAGCUCUACAAGCUUGGAUGUCGAACAAUGGUAGUUUCAGGGUUGCCACCAAUGGAGUGUUUACCGAUUCAAAUGGCGUCAAGAUUCACAAGAUCAAAGUAACAAAAUUUUGAUGCAAGAAUUUUUAGUCAGAAACUCAUGAAGUUACCGCGAAUUCAAUCUUCUUUUGCAGUAAGCCGGAUUAUGUAUGCUGAUAUAUACAUUCCGAUGAUGUAGAUUUGGUAAAACACAACCUUUUGUGGUCUAAUCUGGAUGAGGAGCGAUGGGUAUCUAUCAACGACAUUGAUCAAUAAUUUGAAUCAGUUCAAGUUCAACUCUGGCAUGUAUCUUUUUUUAGUUGUUUAUGUCGAGUAGGUUUCAAUAUUUAGCAUAAAAGAGAUUGACCCUAGAUAGCCUUUAUAGGCAUUUUGCAACUUUUUAAAUUUGAGCAUGAAUUCAAGUACUUCAAAAAUACUUUGGAUC